CUGGCUCAGGACGAACGCUGGCGGCGUGCCUAAUACAUGCAAGUCGAGCGAACAGAGAAGGAGCUUGCUCCUUCGACGUUAGCGGCGGACGGGUGAGUAACACGUGGGCAACCUACCUUAUAGUUUGGGAUAACUCCGGGAAACCGGGGCUAAUACCGAAUAAUCUGUUUCACCUCAUGGUGAAACACUGAAAGACGGUUU
rnacentral:rRNA from 1 species